AUACGGAGGGUGCAAGCGUUAUUCGGAAUCACUGGGCGUAAAGGACGCGUAGGCGGGUUGGCAAGUCAGAUGUGAAAUCCUACAGCUUAACUGUAGAACUGCAUUUGAAACUGCUAACCUAGAGUAUGGGAGGGGGAGAUGGAAUUAGUGGUGUAGGGGUAAAAUCCGUAGAUAUCACUAGGAAUACCGAAAGCGAAGGCGAUCUCCUGGAACAUAACUGACGCUAAGGCGUGAAAGCGUGGGGAGCAAACAGGAUUAGAAACCCAGUAGUCC
rnacentral:rRNA from 1 species